rnacentral:rRNA from 1 species
UACGUAGGGUGCAAGCGUUAAUCGGAAUUACUGGGCGUAAAGCGUGCGCAGGCGGUUCGGAAAGAGAGGUGUGAAAUCCCAGGGCUUAACCUUGGAACUGCACUUUUAACUACCGGGCUAGAGUACGUCAGAGGGGGGUAGAAUUCCACGUGUAGCAGUGAAAUGCGUAGAGAUGUGGAGGAAUACCGAUGGCGAAGGCAGCCCCCUGGGUCAAGACUGACGCUCAUGCACGAAAGCGUGGGGAGCAAACAGG